GCCAUUUUGAGGACCGCAGCCCACGCGGGCCUGGCCCGCCGUGAUCUGCUCGGGCCUGACCCGCCGUGAUCCGCUCGAAGACGAGCCCGCUGCGUUUGACAUUCCUAGUCGUUUUCGACUUUCAAUGCAAUAUUUAUUAAUUUUAUUUAACAAUUCAUUUUUCUAUUGGUUGAAAUAAUGUUAGGUGUAUAGGUAAUUGUGUUUUUAUAUAUGAAAUAUACAAAAUUAAUUGUUUCUUUAAUCUGUAUGCACAAACCUAAAAUGACACUUAAAAUGAAACAUAGUGAGUAUAUUGCUAUAAAUCAAAAUAAAUUUUUAUUAUGACAUUAUAAGGAUAUGCCGAAAAAUAAAAAAAAAUUGAAUAAAAUAUCAACCCUCUCUUGCAAAAUAACAAUUAUGGCGUUCAAUAUCUCUCCCAACAUCGCGCAUGAUCCCGUUCUUUUCUUUGCAUUUUCAUAUAGCUUUAAAUUUGAAGUUUUCGGUAUAUUUUUCUCACUUUUAGGUUCAUGACCUAGCUUUGUGGAGGUAGAUGCAGGUCGUGAUCCCCAAAUUUUCCGUGAUCUCCCAAGUUUUCCUUUAUUGUCAUUAGUUGAUUCACGGGGACUGAUUGUUCUGAAGUUUUGUUGGAGAUUAGAUCCAUGAAUCUUACCUCUCUACUAUUUAAUUUCUUUGAGGACAUUGGCUUGAACAUGGGGAACUCGGGUUUUCUGAAGGAGGUGGUGGAGGUAAAUUGGUUGUUGAACGUGACUUCGGCCCAUCUACGUACCGGUUCUCCAUCGGCAAAUACUCUUCAAUCUCUCUUUGUGAAAAUUACCUCUUCGUCCAGUUCGGGAUAAAUGGAGUUCUCGAUGAACAACAGUUUUAGUUGAUGUGGCUGCUGCAGUAGAGGUUUAACUUUGGGCUCGUUUUGGGUUAUCAUUUACAUUUUGAACUGGUUUGUUCUAGUUUUAGCUCGUUUUUAUUUUCAACUGUCAUUGUAUGUUUAAAUAACCAAGAAAUAAUAUGAAAAGCUUAAAAAAAUAUGUAAUUGAAUAAAUUUGGAACACCGAAAAUUAUAAAGGAAACUUUGCAUCUU